UCCAUUGGUUCCGGACAGGCUUGCAUACUGACAAUUCAUACCGUACUGGUCAUUCAUCUUUUACAUUACCAGUAGCAUAUAAUACAUAUCAUUAUACAAUACACACGCUCAAACACGGUUUUUUUCGACUUUUUUCGGUUUUUCGGGCUGCCCUUCUCCCCUGAGGCCACGAUGAAAAACAUACAAUAUAUUAUAUAAUCUUUAUUCUUUAUAUGUUACAUGCAUUCCCCUGCAGUAGUGAAAAGUAAAUUGUUUGUUUUAUUUCAGUGUCGACAGCUCAAACUAUGGUGGUAUCUUAUCGCUACAAUGCUGCUAACUAGACUCUUGGAUGAAGUUAAGUUGUUUUAGUCAGAUGAUCUACUUUUUGGCGUUUCCUACUGCCCUAGUUAUAGUAGUUCAAGGUUUAACUGUAAAUAUAGUGUUAAGUAAGUUUCAAUACUUCCCUGCCACCUUUUCAGACAUUGCAGAGAUGUGUGACCGCACAAUUCUCAAACCGAAGAAUCAAAAGGAGUUAUUGAUUUAUCGGUAUAUAAAGUAUGUAUGCUUUAUCAAACAAAGCCACUAGGUAUUCGUGACACAGUUUACGUGUGAUGACGUGGGCAUCUCUCAACACACUUUGCAGCAUGAGCGACGGUGCCCUGGCGGGAUAUCUGGAAAUGUAGCCUUGAGCUCAGUUUAUUUUUCUCCGUCACCUCACCCGGGGGAGGGGGGGGGGAGCCAAUGACUUUGGGUAAUUUGGGGACAAGUGCAGAAUUUCGCCAGCAAUUUAACCUCAAGUCUCCAAGAUUUUUAGCCCCCAUUGGUACCCAAAAGUCUCCUUUAGAAGUCAUUUAAUAAAA